AUUGAACGCUGGCGGCAGGCCUAACACAUGCAAGUCGAGCGAGCGGCGGACGGGUGAGUAAUGUCUGGGAAACUGCCUGAUGGAGGGGGAUAACUACUGGAAACGGUAGCUAAUACCGCAUACCAUCAGAUGUGCCCAGAUGGGAUUAGCUAGUAGGUGGGGUAACGGCUCACCUAGGCGACGAUCCCUAGCUGGUCUGGGAGGAUGACCAGCAACACUGGAAGUGGAAAACGGGACAGACUCCUGCGGGAGGCAGCAGUGGAGAACAUUGGACAGUGGGCGGAAGCCGGAAGCAGCCAUGCCGGGUGUGUGAAGAAGGCCUUCGGGUUGUAAAGCACUUUCAGCGGGGAGGCGUUGCCCGCAGAAGAAGCACCGGCUGACUCCGGGCCAGCAGCCGCGGUAAAAC
rnacentral:rRNA from 1 species